rnacentral:rRNA from 1 species
GACGAACGCUGGCGGCGUGCUUAACACAUGCAAGUCGAACGGCAAGGCCCUGCUUUUGUGGGGUGCUCGAGUGGCGAACGGGUGAGUAACACGUGAGUAACCUGCCCUUGACUUUGGGAUAACUUCAGGAAACUGGGGCUAAUACCGGAUAGGAGCUCCUGCUGCAUGGUGGGGGUUGGAAAGUCUCGGCGGUUGGGGAUGGACUCGCGGCUUAUCAGCUUGUUGGUGGGGUAGUGGCUUACCAAGGCUUUGACGGGUAGCCGGCCUGUGAGCGUGACCGGGCACAAUAGGACUGAGAUACGGCGCAGACGCGAACGGGAGGCAGUAGUGGGGAAUAUUGCACAAUGGGCGGAAGUGGGAUGAAGCGACGCCGCGUGUGGGAUGACGGCCUUCGGGGUGUAAACCGCCUUCGCCUGUGACGAAGCGGGAGUGACGGUAAUGGGUGAAGAAGCACCGGCUAACUACGUG